rnacentral:rRNA from 1 species
AUGCGCCUACGGGCGAACCUCACUAUCCCCUCCGAUCAGAUCCCAGUUUCCACCUCCCAACUCCACGCACAUAACAUCUUGGUAUCAAAGAGGACCUUCCUCGGCCACCCACCACGAACAGCCACCAUGGGCGAACCCAUCACCACCGAAAACCUAGAAUCUGUGUUAACCAAUCCGGGGGACCUCAAAGCACUACCCGAGAUGCGAUCUGAUGUUGCAGCAUUGAAGGAACAACUAGCGGCUGCUAGGGUGUCCAUUGACCUUCUGGAGAAGGGAGGAUCCAGCAAGGCACAGAGCAAAGAUGAAGAUGAGAUUGACAACACAGCUGCUGCUGCUGCACUGGCUGCACCGUUUGCCUACCGGGAGGCUCCAAAGUUCCACAAGCUGGAAUUCCCUACCUAUAACAGGGAGGGCGACCUGUUGCCUUGGUUGAACCGUGUCGAGCGCUUCUUCAAGGGUCACCAGACGGAGGACAAGGAAAAGGUGUGGAUGGCCUCCUAUCACCUAACCGAUGAUGCUGCACUAUGGUACAGCCGGCUGGAGAUGAUGCAUGGCGAACCACCAUGGCCAAAGUUUGUCAAAUACCCGCACCGCAGUUUUGGGCCAACGAUCAGGACUAGUCGGCUGGCGGAAAUUAAACACAACAACAACAAAACCUUUAGUCCCAAACAAGUUGGGUAG